UCACGCGGGAAUCUUACCGGGUCCGGACACACUGAAAGAUUGACAGAUAUAUACCCCGUGAUUUUAUCGCGGGGUUGAAAAAUGCUAGUUCUUUCAUGAUUAUGUGAUAGGUGGUGCAUGGCCGUUCUUAGUUCGUGGAGUGAUCUGUCUGCUUAAUUGCGUAUCAAUAAUAGAGACCUAGUAUACGCGUAGACUCAUGCGGUAGUGACCCCCCUUCACAGGGCGCGUGUCGCACGUAUGUUAUACGCACAGGUCUCCGAUAGCAACGAACGUGACCGUACUCUAUUGUUGCAGCGACAAUACCUUUCAACGGGUAUUACCGCUGCUUAACAAGAUUCGUCUUGCAUUAAACUAUAGAGACCGCUGUUUCUUCUUUAAACCAGAGGAAGGAUACGGCAAUAACAGGCUGUGAUGCCACGGUUUUUGGAAUUGAUGGAAGGAGGAUAUCCGAUGCUCCUGAAGAAGCAUCUUGCCUAAGGAUGCCUGGAGGUCCGCGUUCUUGUGGUGCCCAUUCGUCCAUUCCUUCAAGUUUCCACUUGCGUAUCCAAACUUGAUUCUUCUGCAGGUUCAACUACGGAUGCCUUGAGAUCCGCGUUCUUGUGGUGCCAUUACUCCAAUUCUUUCAGUUUUGCUACCCGUUUGUUCGUAUUUUCC
rnacentral:rRNA from 1 species